AAAUAACUCUUCGGUAAUCAUGAAGUCGUGAAGCCGCGAUUUUAAUGUCUAUUAGGAAAAAUCCCAAUAAACAUAAGCGAACUAAUAAUAAAAAGAGAUUAUUGUCUGGUUUUUUUAUUUAGCGCGAGAGAUUCUACAGAUAGUUUUUAAUAGGAUGAUAUUUAACGUAUUCCUGUUAAUCGUCCGGCUACGCAGUUCAUGCUUUUCACUCGAUAUUCACGUUUAUAAAAACAACAAAGCACGCUUUUUUUGCUCAAAAAUAUCUUGUCGGAAGGAGAUCGUGUGCGGUGACACCGCACACGAUUGACACAAAGCAGGGUUAAAUCGGAGAUGAGAAUCGAGAUCGGAGGA
rnacentral:ncRNA from 1 species